UUAGGGUUCUGUGUUGAUGAAUAGGGAAGUGUUAGGGUUCUGUGUUGAUGAAUAGGUAGUGUUAGGGUUCUGUGUUGAUGAAUAGGUAGUGUUAGGGUUCUGUGUUGAUGAAUAGGUAGUGUUAGGGUUCUGUGUUGAUGAAUAGGUAGUGUUAGGGUUCUGUGUUGAUGAAUAGGUAGUGUUAGGGUUCUGUGUUGAUGAAUAGGUAGUGUUAGGGUUCUGUGUUGAUGAAUAGGUAGUGUUAGGGUUCUGUGUUGAUGAAUAGGUAGUGUUAGGGUUCUGUGUUGAUGAAUAGGUAGUGUUAGGGUUCUGUGUUGAUGAAUAGGUAGUGUUAGGGUUCUGUGUUUAUAAAUAGGUAGUGUUAGGUUUAUGUGUUGAUGAAUAGAUACUGGGAUAACAAGACUGCAUCAAACCUUUGCACUUGUGAAGAGUGUUUAAAAUGGCAUUUUCUGAAAAAAUGUCUUGUGUGUAAUCAUGUUUAUAAAAAGUGAUCAUGACUAGUACUACCAAUGACUCAUAUUGUCUUUAAUUGAACAUAGAGAAUCCAUUCAGCUGUAUAAAACACAGGUCAGCAACCUUCCAUUUCUUCAGUGAAGUUACAGAAACCGCUUCUACCAAAGGUUCUAUCUCAGACAAGCCCUAUGUACAGACACACUGGGUUCUGUCUCAGACAAGCCCUAUGUACAGACACACUGACCUAGGUUCUGUCUCAGACAAGCCCUAUGUACAGACACACUGACCUAGGUUCUGUCUCAGACAAGCCCUAUGUACAGACACACUGACCUAGGUUCUGUCUCAGACAAGCCCUAUGUACAGACACACUGACCUAGGUUCUGUCUCAGACAAGCCCUAUGUACAGACACACUGGGUUCUGUCUCAGACAAGCCCGAUGUACAGACACACUGACCUAGGUUCUGUCUCAGACAAGCCCUAUGUACAGACACGCUGACCUAGGUUCUGUCUCAGACAAGCCCUAUGUACAGACACACUGACCUAGGUUCUGUCUCAGACAAGCCCUAUGUACAGACACACUGACCUAGGUUCUGUCUCAGACCUAUUACAUUGCAUUGCUAAUCUAAGAUGCUCAUUGCUACAGAUAUGUACAGUGCAUUCGGAAAGUAUUCAGACCCCUUGACCUUUUCCACAUUUUGUCACGUUACUGCCUUAUUCUAAAUUUGAAUUUUAAAAAAUCCCAUAUCAAUCUACACACAAUACCCAAUAAUGACAAAGCAAAAACUGUUUUUUUAGAUGAAAGAAAUUCUGACCCUUUACUCAGUACUUUGUUGAAACACCUUUGGCCGCAAUUUCAGCCUGGAGUCUUCUUGGGUAUGAUGCUACAAGCUUGGCACACCUGUAUUUGGGGAGUUUCUCCCAUUCUUCUCUGCAGAUCCUCUCAAGCUCAGUCAGGUUGGAUGGGGAGUGUCGCUGCACAGCUAUUUCCAGGUCUCUCCAGAGAUGUUAGAGUACGGGCUCUGGCUGGACCACGCAAGGACAUUCAGAGACUUGUCCUGAAGCCACUCCUGAUUGUCUUGGCUGUGCGAUUAGGGUCGUAGUC